rnacentral:rRNA from 1 species
AGGGAAUCUUCCACAAUGGACGCAAGUCUGAUGGAGCAACGCCGCGUGAGUGAAGAAGGUUUUCGGACCGUAAAGCUCUGUUGUUGGUGAAGAAGGAUAGAGGCAGUAACUGGUCUUUAUUUGACGGUAAUCAACCAGAAAGUCACGGCUAACUACGUGCCAGCAGCCGCGGUAAUACGUAGGUGGCAAGCGUUGUCCGGAUUUAUUGGGCGUAAAGCGAGCGCAGGCGGAAUGAUAAGUCUGAUGUGAAAGCCCACGGCUCAACCGUGGAACUGCAUCGGAAACUGUCAUUCUUGAGUGCAGAAGAGGAGAGUGGAACUCCAUGUGUAGCGGUGGAAUGCGUAGAUAUAUGGAAGAACACCAGUGGCGAAGGCGGCUCUCUGGUCUGCAACUGACGCUGAGGCUCGAAAGCAUGGGUAGCGAACAGGAUUAGAUACCCUGGUAGUCCAUGCCGUAAACGAUGAGCGCUAGGUGUUGGGGACUUUCCGGUUCUCAGUGCCGCAGCAAACGCGUUAAGCGCUCCGCCUGGGGGAGUACGACCGCAAGGUUGAAAC